UACGGAGGGUGCGAGCGUUGUUCGGAAUUACUGGGCGUAAAGCGCGUGCAGGCGGCCGACUAAGUCAGGUGUGAAAGCCCACGGCUCAACCGUGGAGGGUCAUUGGAAACUGGGGGACUUGAGUACAGAAGAGGAAAGUGGAAUUCCACGUGUAGCGGUGAAAUGCGUAGAGAUGUGGAGGAACACCAGUGGCGAAGGCGACUUUCUGGUCUGUAACUGACGCUGAGGCGCGAAAGCGUGGGGAGCAAACAGG
rnacentral:rRNA from 1 species